rnacentral:rRNA from 1 species
GAUUAACGCUGGCGGCGUGCAUAACACAUGCAAGUCGCACGAAGUGGCGGACGGGUGAGUAACGCGUGAGUAACCUGCCUUAGAGAAGGGGAUAGCCUUUGGAAACGAAGAAUAAUACCCUAUGCUCUAAGAUGGACUUGCGUCUGAUUGGUUAGUUGGUGGGGUAACGGCCCACCAAGACAGCGAUCAGUAGCCGGUUUGAGAGAGUGUACGGCCACAUUGGGACUGAGACACGGCCCAGGCUCUACGGGAGGCAGCAGUGGGGGAUUUUGCACAAUGGUGGAAACCCUGAUGCAGCGACGCCGCGUGAUUUAGAAGGCCUUCGGGUUGUAAAAAUCUUUUCUAUGGGAAGCAGUACCAUAGGAAUAAGGACCGGCUAAUUCCGUGCCAGCAGCCGCGGUAAUUC